ACAGGUUAAAGAUGAAGGGGAGGAGACAGGUUAAAGAUGAAGGGGAGGAGACAGGUUAAAGAUGAAGGGGAGGAGACAGGUUAAAGAUGAAGGGGAGGAGACAGGUUAAAGAUGAAGGGGAGGAGACAGGUUAAAGAUGAAGGGGAGGAGACAGGUUAAAGAUGAAGGGGAGGAGACAGGUUAAAGAUGAAGGGGAGGAGACAGGUUAAAGAUGAAGGGGAGGAGACAGGUUAAAGAUGAAGGGGAGGAGACAGGUUAAAGAUGAAGGGGAGGAGACAGGUUAAAGAUGAAGGGGAGGAGUCAGGUUAAAGAUGAAGGGGAGGAGACAGGUUAAAGAUGAAGGGGAGGAGACAGGUUAAAGAUGAAGGGGAGGAGACAGGUUAAAGAUGAAGGGGAGGAGACAGGUUAAAGAUGAAGGGGAGGAGACAGGUUAAAGAUGAAGGGGAGGAGACAGGUUAAAGAUGAAGGGGAGGAGACAGGUUAAAGAUGAAGGGGAGGAGACAGGUUAAAGAUGAAGGGGAGGAGACGGGUUAAAGAUGA